rnacentral:rRNA from 1 species
GGUUACUGCUAUCGGUGUUCGCCUAAGCCAUGCGAGUCAUAUGUUCGUAAGAACAUGGCGUACUGCUCAGUAAACGUGGAUAACCUGCCCUUGGGUCCGGCAUAACCCCGGGAAACUGGGGAUAAUUCCGGAUAACGCACAUAUGCUGGAAUGCUUUAUGCGUAAAAUGGAUUCGUCUGCCCAAGGAUGGGUCUGCGGCCUAUCAGGUAGUAGUGGGUGUAAUGUACCUACUAGCCUACGACGGGUACGGGUUGUGAGAGCAAGAGCCCGGAGAUGGAUUCUGAGACAUGAAUCCAGGCCCUACGGGGCGCAGCAGGCGCGAAAACUUUACAAUGCGGGAAACCGUGAUAAGGGGACACCGAGUGCCAGCAUCCUAUGCUGGCUGUCCGGGUGUGUAAAAUACACCUGUUAGCAAGGGCCGGGCAAGACCGGUGCCAGCCGCCGCGGUAACACCGGCGGCCCGAGUGGUGAUCGUGAUUAUUGGGUCUAAAGGGUCCGUAGCCGGUUUGGUCAGUCCUCCGGGAAAUCUGACAGCUUAACUGUUAGGCUUUCGGAGGAUACUGCCAGACUUGGAACCGGGAGAGGUAAGAGGUACUACAGGGGUAGGAGUGAAAUCUUGUAAUCCCUGUGGGACCACCUGUGGCGAAGGCGUCUUACCAGAACGGGUUCGACGGUGAGGGACGAAAGCUGGGGGCACGAACCGGAUUAGAUACCCGGGUAGUCCCAGCCGUAAACGAUGCUCGCUAGGUGUCAGGCAUGGCGCGACCGUGUCUGGUGCCGCAGGGAAGCCGUGAAGCGAGCCACCUGGGAAGUACGGCCGCAAGGCUGAAACUUAA